AAAAAGGGUUGGUUGGCUAAAUAUGCCAUGCCCGCCCUAGUUAGGUGGGUGCUGUACGGCUAUCAAGACAUACGGCUGACAUAAUUUGGGACUUCUAUAGGGUUGGCUAAAAAAAAAACUCAGGCUUAUUUAUUUAUUUAUUU